UACGGAGGGAGCUAGCGUUAUUCGGAAUUACUGGGCGUAAAGCGCACGUAGGCGGCUUUGUAAGUAAGAGGUGAAAGCCUGGAGCUCAACUCCAGAACUGCCCUUUUUAGACUGCAUCGCUUGAAUCCAGGAGAGGUGAGUGGAAUUCCGAGUGUAGAGGUGAAAUUCGUAGAUAUUCGGAAGAACACCAGUGGCGAAGGCGGCUCACUGGCCCGAUACUGACGCUGAGGCACGAAAGCGUGGGGAGCAAACAGG
rnacentral:rRNA from 1 species